rnacentral:lncRNA from 1 species
UCCGUGUGUCACACACGGGUAUGUAGAUUACCUUUGUUGAAGUGACUAGGCCGUGUGAAACACUGAAUUAGGCCCAAUUUUCUAUUUUUGGCUUGUUUCUUGCUCUUUUUGCUAUCCUAAGCUCUUCUGAGUAUAAAACAUGAAAUUAAAUGAUUAGGAGCAUCAAACUCAUUAAACCUUAUGAUAAUCCUUCCAAAAAUAUGCCAAGCAUGGGGUAAAAAUAUAUAUAUAUUAUGGUUUAUCAAAUAUCCC